UACUGGCUCAAUUGGUGCCUUAGCCGUCUUUUUUGAGGUAGAGCGAAGCACCCUGGUACUGCUAUGUGUGGAUCCCAAGAUAUUUACUGGCUCAUUAGGUGUCUUACUCUUGUUUUUUGAGGUAGAUUGAAGCACCCUGGCACUCCUAUGUGCAGAUCUCAAGGGGGUUGCUGGCUCAUCAGGUAUCCUAUUCUUGUUUUUCGAGGUAGACCGAAGCACCCUGGCACUACUAUGAGCAGAUCUCAAGGGAUAUGUUUUACUUGCAACUACUUGGGACCCUUUCCUUCCCCUUUUCCCCUUGGC
rnacentral:lncRNA from 1 species